AUAUUAACCAGAAAUUCACCCUCAGGAUGCUAGCCUUCAUACAGUGCAUUUAUGCUUCUGAAAUAAUCAGAGUACAAGGAUGACCUCUGACCUGGGAAGUUCAAAACACCCACCAACUGCUAGUUUUGGGACUUCCUUAUAUUCACAUGUUCAAAAAAAGAGUUUUUAUCUCUAUAUAAAAUAUAUCCCUAAAGAUUUGUGCCAGUUGGGCCAAAAAGUUCAAGCAGAAUUUGCAUCUGUAGUACAUUUUCAACUGAAAAUACAAAUGGGAUUUUAAAAAGUCUCAUAAUUUCUGACUUUCUGUGAUUUAGCACCUUCAUUUUUCCACCUGAAAAUGUGUACACCUACAUCAUGUUCGUGAUUUAUUUCCGUUGCCCUUAUGAGUACACAUACAACAUACUGUUUUGAAAAUCUACCCCCACGGAAUUUAUGGUGUGUGUAUGUCUACAAUAUACACAGUUUGUGUACAUUCACUAUAAUGGUAGCAUAAAUAACUACAACAGCUAAGAUCAUAUAACUAUUACCAUUCUAACCAUGCCUUUUUCAGUUAAUCUUAUCUUUCCAAAUCAUUCACUUUUUUUAUAUUCUUUUCAGGCUUAGUCUCUUCCCAAAGAUGCCUUAUCUUUUCAAGUCUGAGUAAAAAUGAGGAAAAUUUGGAGGAAAUUAGACUUUCAGUAUUACUUCCUCCUCCCUCCCCAAUUUUUUGAUAGCUCUGGCACUAGCAUAUCAGGAGACAGAAAGCUAACAUUUGACAAGGCUUUGAAGGAGAAAUGUACAGGAUUGAAGUUGGGAUGUUGCCCUCUAUUGGUUAUUCACAGCUUAAAGAAAAUUGGGGUAUUUCUAUAAUUGAUGCCUAAUGGUGGUGAUCUUUUUGUUCCAAUGAUAAAGGCCUGUGGAUUUGGUUGUGAAGAACGAAGGCCCAGUCUAAAUUCAGCAGCAGGGUUGAAUUUUACCUUCCCAGAAAGCGAGAAACUCUGAUUCAAGUUGACAUCGUACAUACUGUUGUCAAUGAUACCAUGAGAUUCUGGAUACAAACCCUAAGAAUGAAAAUAAAUUAAG